AACAUGCUAUUCAUAUAGAGUGUUAAAAAAAAAUGGUAGACUCUAAUGAUUCAUUUUUCAAAACAUCUGUUUACAUCCUAUAGGCUAAUCAAGGGUCAAAGGUUACCAGUUGACAGCUGAUAAUGAGUCAAAACAAUGAAGACAUCAGUACUUGUCAAGUAAUGUCUUUAAUGAUAAGAUAAACAGCAUUUGAACAGCCUCAAUUGAUUGAAGACCAUUUCAAUACAAGACAUGGUCAUGUCUUGAUUUUUAGUGGGCCACUGAAACGACCUUUACAUAAUCUACCAAAUAGAUCCCAAGGUCUGAAAGAGGUCUUGUUCAACAACUGUAUACAAAUACAGAAGAACUCUUCAAAUGGCUUGUCAUGUGUAAAGAACAUACUGUAGUAGGUCUCCCCAUCUUC
rnacentral:sRNA from 1 species